AACAUAGGAGUGCAUAUAUAUAUUUUUAAUUAUGAGACAUUACACUUCGCUUUUAUUGGGCUUUCGUUUGUUUAACAUGUCAUUACUUGAAAUUAAAGUUUGAAUCUGUCGAUGGCGUCACCAUGGCGGAACACAUCAAGCCGACGGUCGGCCGUUGGGCACAGAUUUCAAAGUUACUAUCAGAUUUAAUGUGAUUACCUUGACAAAUUAUACAUUAUUAAACAUAUAUAAGACUCAGGUUUCAGUAUUUGACCACUGUUUCUGAGAAACUUAUAGUGACCAUAUUAAUUAAUUUCAGGAGUAUGCAAUAAAAAACAGUCGAUGGCGUUUUUAAUAUGAAUUAUGUGCGUCAUUCAUCCGCUCCCAUUCAUAAAUACCUCUGUCGUCGUCAUGACAGAGCUCGACCAAACAAGUGCUUUCAGCUCAAAAAUAUGCAGAUUCUGAGAAAUAUUUAUUGAUUAUCAUAGGUUUCUGUCAGAUUUCUGUAUAACGUUAGAGGAAUUAUAUUUAUUGAAUACACCAAAAUGGGCCGAUGUAAUCAUAGCGCUGGAUACUCCUCGGAUGUAGUGUGUUUUCAAUACACACUGGCAGCCGGCGGGCGUCGUGUGCACAUAAUUUAUAACGCUACUUCAUAAUAUAUCACGAAGAAGAGCCACAUGACCUGUGACACCUGAAACCACAACAAAGUUUCCAAAGAUCGCUGAAUACUUGCAGAUAACAUGAUUGCAACGAUAUAUGACGCAUUAUUUGUGUUCUUCAAGCCAUGCAGAUAACUUCAUAAUAUAUUACAUUUAUAAUUUGAUAGCCUACACUGUCAACAGAAGUGAAAACGGAUCAAAGAAAUUGAAGUGGUCAGCCUCAGCCCCUCUGUGGGUGUGUUUAUUCUAAAGUGGCCAGCAUUAUUCACUGAAGCUCAGAUCAAGGAGGAGUUUAGACGCAUCACAACAUAUUCCUUGGAGGAGACAUUCACACGGAAGCUUGAGUACUCACAAGGUCUUUUGCGGCUAAUGCGCGCCAAAGGAGAAGUAGCUGGUUGCAAGAUGUGUCCUCUGCUGGACACUUUAAAUGACACACAGAACAUUGAGAAACAUGAGAUGCUGUUGUCUGCUGCCUCAUUAAAGACAAGACUACCUUGGUGAAAAUCAAGAAGAUCUUUUCCAUUACUACCAGGAAUGUGAGGACUACACAGACAAAAACAUGAAGGUGAUUGUGAAGCACAAUGUCAUGGCUGAGGAGGAUCCAGAUUUGUCUAUUGUGAUCGAGGGAAACCAAGUAAUGGAAUCACAGAGUUUAGAUACAACAAAAUGUGAUUGGACUUCUUCCAGUACUGCUCUGAUCUCCUCGCUUCUAGUUUCAUUUUCUACUCUCUCCUCCUCCUAAAACAACAAUGUUUUAUUAUCCAACAUUAUUGAAACAACAUUUGAUAGUCCAGUGAGUUAACAUGUUCAUUACUUGAAAUGUUGUGUAAAGUUAUUGUGCUGCACUGUAUUUUGAGUGUUUCAUAUGAAUUUUUGGAUUAAAAACAUUGAUCUGAUGAA